GAUGAACGCUGGCGGCGUGCCUAAUACAUGCAAGUCGAGCGAACAGACGAGGAGCUUGCUCCUCUGACGUUAGCGGCGGACGGGUGAGUAACACGUGGAUAACCUACCUAUAAGACUGGGAUAACUUCGGGAAACCGGAGCUAAUACCGGAUAAUAUAUUGAACCGCAUGGUUCAAUAGUGAAAGACGGUUUUGCUGUCACUUAUAGAUGGAUCCGCGCCGCAUUAGCUAGUUGGUAAGGUAACGGCUUACCAAGGCAACGAUGCGUAGCCGACCUGAGAGGGUGAUCGGCCACACUGGAACUGAGACACGGGCCAGACUCCUACGGGAGGCAGCAGUAGGGAAUCUUCCGCAAUGGGCGAAAGCCUGACGGAGCAACGCCGCGGGAGGGAUGAAGGGCUUCGGAUCGGAAAACUCUGUUAUUAGGGAAGAACAAAUGUGUAAGUAACUAUGCACGUCUUGACGGUACCUAAUCAGAAAGCCACGGCUAACUACGUGC
rnacentral:rRNA from 1 species